rnacentral:rRNA from 1 species
UACGUAGGGGGCAAGCGUUGUCCGGAAUCAUUGGGCGGUAAAGAGCGUGUAGGCGGCCCGGUAAGUCCGCUGUGAAAGUCCAGGGCUCAACCCUGGGAUGCCGGUGGAUACUGUCGGGCUCGAGUCCGGAAGAGGAGUGUGGAAUUCCUGGUGUAGCGGUGAAAUGCGCAGAUAUCAGGAGGAACACCAAUGGCGAAGGCAGCUCGCUGGGACGGUACUGACGCUGAGACGCGAAAGCGUGGGGAGCGAACAGG